rnacentral:rRNA from 1 species
UUUCAAAUGAGAGUUUGAUCCUGGCUCAGGACGAACGCUGGCGGCGUGCCUAACACAUGCAAGUCGAGCGA